ACCCCUCACUCAGGCGCCACAGCACCGUCUGCAUACACAGCAGCCCCAGGAACACCUGUUGAAUGCCUGUGCCUCAGGGGCUCGGCAUGGUACUGGCGACUCCUCCGCCUCAGUCUCCCAAGCCCUGCAGUGACCGCUCAGGUGAUUUUCAACAACAGGACAAGAGUGACAGGGAGAAGACCUGCAGACCAAGGUGGCAGCGAAGGUGCGAGAGGACCCAGGUAAUGAGGGGAAGGGGUAAACAAAGGGCACAGGCAAGAAGGAGCCACGCACAGCAGAUGGUGUGAGCUCCGACUCUUUGGGACCCCAUGGACAGCCUGCCAGGCUCCUCCGUCCAUGGGAUCUCCCAGGCAAAAAUACUGGAGUGGGUUGCCAUUUCCUUCUCCAGGGAUCAAACCCCGGUCUCCUGCAUUGCAGGUGGAUUCUUUACCAUCGGAGCCACCAAGGAAGCCCCAUCACGAGUCUUCUUUAAGUCUGUGCUGAGAGAUGACGUGCAGAGAGCACAUCCAGGAUGAUCCGAGGAGCAGCUGAGAGAACGGAUCCACCUUACAUGACGGAGCACAGGAACGGGCUGACGAGAGGGAGACACAGAGACCACAGACGUCAGCAGCUGUUCUUAUGGAACAAAGACAAGAUGAAGGGAUUCACAGGAAGUCUACAUCUGGAGCAGAGGGGUCAGUGCCCAGUCCUGACACACUACCUGGUCAGUCACCACUGGAGGGAGGACAAUUCCUGGACUCUAAGAAGUGAAAUCCAUCUGGCUUUAAUCACCGACUUCACAAAUGAACUUGAAGAUAAAAUCUUGUACAGAUCUUCAGACUGCAUGUGAAAAUGAGAUGGAGCAGAUCUUUAGGGAAUCUUUAGUGAGACUG
ensembl:lncRNA